AGAACUUGGAACCCUCUACUUCCAUCAGAUCGAGCUUCUGCUUCUAAAAUUCUAUGUCAACUGAUCAUAAUCAUAUCGAGCCACAUCGGUUACACACUGAACAACACUGUAAUUCUGAAGCUGAUUCUCGGAGUAUAAUUACUCAAUUUCAUUGGUAAUAUCUCAAACUCAAUUGCAAAAUCCCCAAAUCGAGUGGUCUGAAAAAAUUGAAAUCUCAGGAUGAAAAAAUUGAAGUUUCUGAUAUCAAUUGAAAUCAUAAGAGUUGAAUUGGAGGAUUGGGUUGUCUAUUUAUAGAGCCUAAUGCACUGAUGUACUUUGGAAGCGAAACAGAAGCUGGAACUUGGAACUGCAAAGUUUGAGGGUGGUAUUUAUAGCCAGAUUAUAGCCCAGUUUUGCUAGCUUGGAGAGUGAUGAGUAGUGAACUCGAUAAGCUUCUCGGCUGGAAGAUUAAGUAGCAAGAAGUUGAUACCUAUGAAGAACAGUGAACGGGUUGUUGCUUCUGUAUCCAAAUUGUUGCACAACUGAAAUACUGAAAUAUGACUAGAAGCCGAGGAAGGUGUUGCAGAACCCGCGGGUUAUAAUGGAAAUCGUUUGUGCCACAAGACGGAAGUGAAGGGUUCUAUUAUGAUGAAAACAGUUGGUAUAAGAACUCACGUCGAAAAUGUCUUCGCUACUAUAUAUAGAAUUGCCACUUUGCAUAUAAAUAUACUACAUGCUUUUUGAGUAGGUAGAUUUAUUAUACCAAUUUUGUGAAGUCAUAACCAUGAGCAUGUUAAUAUGUACCUCUGCGAAAUUUACUUUAAAUCCAUUCCCAACCUUUGUAAACAAGAACUAUUUACAAAUGGACUUAUAUAAUCAACACAACAAAGUUUUUGGUA